CCUACGGGCGGCAGCAGUGGGGGAUAUUGCACAAUGGGGGAAACCCUGAUGCAGCGACGCCGCGUGAGUGAAGAAGUAUUUCGGUAUGUAAAGCUCUAUCAGCAGGGAAGAAAAUGACAGUACCUGCCCAAGACGCCCCGGCUACCUACGUGCCAGCAGCCGCGGUAAUACGUAGGGGGCAAGCGUCAUCCGGAUGUACUGGGUGAAAGGGGAGCGUAGACGGUAAGGUAAGUCUGGGGUGAAAGCCCGGGGCCCAACCCCGGGUCUGCUUUGGAAACGGUGUAACUGGAGUACAGGAGGGGCAGGCGGAAUUCCUGGUGUAGCGGUGAAAUGCGUAGAUAUCAGGAGGAACACCGGCGGCGAAGGCGGCCUGCUGGACUGAAACUGACGUUGAGGCUCGAAAGCGUGGGGAGCAAACAGUAUUAGAUACCCAGUAGUC
rnacentral:rRNA from 1 species